rnacentral:lncRNA from 7 species
AUAUGCAGUAGCUGCUUGUUAACUAAGGAGCAUCAGAAUUCCAUGUGAAAUCUGUUGAGGAACUCUCACGUCUUAAUACCACUGAUGUCCUAUAGGAAGAUGGUUUUAUCCGUGGUGCUUGGUACAAAAUCCUAUUGACAUAGUGGCUGCGAGCAAGUGCUGCUUUGUUUUUUUUUGUGUGUGUGUGCAAGGGGAAGGACAGUCUGCCUGAAAGCUAAUUUUCAACUCCAUCCUUUCAUGUGCUUUACGGGAGAUUAAGAUGAAAUUAGUGCAGGAAGGAUACUGCUCAAGAUCAUUUUAAGAUUUUCCAAGGCUCACCAGCUUGUUGACCUGUAAACCACCUUUAGCUGGACAGAUGACCCAAAGAGUGCAAACAUGCUCCAAGAAGAGAGAAGGGGAUGAGGAGAGAAGCCAAGCCACCAGCCCUGCGUCUGACUGUUGGAUUGGGAUUCAGGGCAGGAGUUAGGAUGCUUCACAUCCCAACAGCUGCACUCUGUCUUCAGGAUCUGAGAAACUGGACAAGACAACUGAAAAGGAAUCCAGUUGUUUAAGCUUCGGCUGCAAUUGUGUUUAUAUUUGUUUUGCUUGUAACCUUUUGUUUUCAGCCUUGCAACUAAAAGCCUGACCUUGUCUUGCUUAAUAAACCUUGUGCAGAAGCU